rnacentral:rRNA from 1 species
GAUGAACGCUGGCGGCGUGCUUAAUACAUGCAAGUCGAGCGAACGGACGAGAAUCUUGCUUCUCUGAUGUUAGCGGCGGACGGGUGAGUAACACGUGGAUAACCUACCUAUAAGACUGGGAUAACUUCGGGAAACCGUAGCUAAUACCGGAUAAUAUUUUGAACCGCAUGGUGCAAAAGUGAAAGACGGUCUUGCUGUCACGUAUAGAUGGAUCCGCGCUUCAUUAGCUAGUUGGUAAGGUAACGGCUUACCAAGGCAACGAUGCAUAGCCGACCUGAGGGGGUGGUCGGCCACACUGGAACUGAGACACGGUCCAGGGUCCUACGGGAGGCAGCAGUAGGGAAUCUUCCGCAAUGGGCGGGAGCCUGACAGAGCAACGCCGCGUGAGUGAUGAAGGUCUUCGGAUCGUAAAGCUCUGUUAUUAGGGAAGAACAUAUGUGUAAGUAACUGAGCACAUCUUGACGGUACCUAAUCAGAAAGCCACGGCUAACUACGUG